rnacentral:rRNA from 1 species
AUUGAACGCUGGCGGCAUGCCUUAUACAUGCAAGUCGAACGGCAGCACGGGAGCAAUCCUGGUGGCGAGUGGCGAACGGGUGAGUAAUAUAUCGGAACGUGCCCAGUCGUGGGGGAUAACGUAGCGAAAGCUACGCUAAUACCGCAUACGAUCUAUGGAUGAAAGCGGGGGAUCGCAAGACCUCGCGCGAUUGGAGCGGCCGAUAUCAGAUUAGGUAGUUGGUGAGGUAAAGGCUCACCAAGCCGACGAUCUGUAGCUGGUCUGAGAGGACGACCAGCCACACUGGGACUGAGACACGGCCCAGACUCCUACGGGAGGCAGCAGUGGGGAAUGUUGGACAAUGGGCGCAAGCCUGAUCCAGCAAUGCCGCGUGCAAGAUGAAGGCCUUCGGGUUGUAAACUGCUUUUGUACGGAGCGAAACGGCUUCCACUAAUACUGGGGGCUAAUGACGGUACCGUAAGAAUAAGCACCGGCUAACUACGUGCCAGCCGCCGCCGUAACAC